rnacentral:rRNA from 1 species
UCAAGUUAUUAAGGGUGCAGGGCGGAUGCCUUGGCACUAGGAGCCGAUGAAGGACGUGAUAAGCUGCGAUAAGCUUCGGGGAGUUGCACGUAAACUUUGAUCCGAAGAUUUCCGAAUGAGGAAACUCACUUAGAGUAAUGUCUAAGUAUCAUUAAGUGAAUACAUAGCUUAAUGAGGGGAACUCAGGGAACUGAAACAUCUAAGUACCUGAAGGAAGAGAAAGAAAUUCGAUUCCGUAAGUAGCGGCGAGCGAACGCGGAUUAGCCCAAACCAAUAAAGUUUUCUUUAUUGGGGUUGCGGACAUAUCAUAACGAAGAGGUAUCGUAAUUGAAGAGGUUUGGAAAGACCCACCACAGAAGGUAAUAGUCCUGUAUGUUAAACGAGAAGACUUUAGAUAUGAUCCAGAGUACCACGGGACACGUGAAACCCUGUGGGAAGCAGGAGGGACCACCCUCCAAGGCUAAAUACUACCUAGUGACCGAUAGCGUAUAGUACCGUGAGGGAAAGGUGAAAAGAACCCCGGGAGGGGAGUGAAAUAGAACCUGAAACCCUGCGCUUACAAGCUGUGGAAGCACAUUUCUUGUGUGACCGCGUACUUUUUGUAGAACGGGCCAACGAGUUACGUUAAGUAGCAAGGUUAAGCACUUAAGGUGUGGAGCCGUAGCGAAAGCGAGUUUUAACUGAGCGUUCAGUUACUUGACGUAGACCCGAAACCGGGCGACCUACCCAUGAGCAGGAUGAAGCGAAAGUAAAAUUUCGUGGAGGUCCGAACCCACGAGCGUUGAAAAGCUCGGGGAUGACUUGUGGGUAGCGGUGAAAUUCCAAUCGAGCCCGGAGAUAGCUGGUUCUCCCCGAAAUAGCUUUAGGGCUAGCCUCAAGGUGAGAGAUACGGAGGUAGAGCACUGAAUGUCCUAGGGGGUAUUGCACCUACCGAAGACUAUCAAACUCCGAAUGCCGUCAUCUUAUACUUGGGAGUCAGACUGUGGGUGAUAAGAUUCAUAGUCGAAAGGGCAACAGCCCAGAUCGUCAGCUAAGGUCCCUAAAUGUAAGUUAAGUGGUAAAGGAUGUGGGAUUGCACAGACAACCAGGAUGUUGGCUUAGAAGCAGCCACUCAUUCAAAGAGUGCGUAAUAGCUCACUGGUCGAGUGAUCCUGCGCCGAAGAUUUCCGGGGCUAAAACUUACUACCGAAGCUACGGCAUCAGUAAUGAUGGGUAGGGGAGCUUCCCAUACGGGUUGAAGCAUGACCGUAAGGACAUGUGGACAGUAUGGGAGUGAGAAUGUUGGCAUGAGUAGCGAGAUGUGGGUGAGAAUCCCACAGGCCGUAAACCCAAGGUUUCCAGGGGAAGGUUCGUCCGCCCUGGGUUAGUCGGGACCUAAGCUGAGGCCGAAAGGCGUAGGUGAUGGACAACAGGUUGAUAUUCCUGUACUACCGAUAACCGUUUGAGAGAAGGGAUGACACAGUAGGAUAAGCUAAGCACACUGUUGGUUAUGUGUGCCCAAGCAUUGAGGCAGUCAAAGUAGGCAAAUCCGCUUUGAUAAUGCUGGGAUGUGAUGGGGAGCGAAAUUUAGUAGCGAAGUAGCUGAUUUCACACUGUCAAGAAAAGUCUCUAUCGAGGUUAAAGGUACCCGUACCGCAAACCGACACAGGUGGGUGAGGAGAGUAUCCUAAGGCCAGCGAGAGAACUGUUGUUAAGGAACUCGGCAAAAUGACCCCGUAACUUAGGGAUAAGGGGUGCCACCAUCAGGUGGCCGCAGAGAAUAGGCCCAAGCGACUGUUUACCAAAAACAUAGGUUUCUGCUAAGUCGCAAGACGAUGUAUAGGAGCUGACGCCUGCCCGGUGCUGGAAGGUUAAGGGGAUCUGUUAGAGCAAUCGAAGCAGUGAACUUAAGCCCCAGUAAACGGCGGCCGUAACUAUAACGGUCCUAAGGUAGCGAAAUUCCUUGUCGGGUAAGUUCCGACCCGCACGAAAGGCGUAACGAUUUGGGCACUGUCUCAACAACAGACUCGGUGAAAUUGUAAUUCCGGUGAAGAUGCCGGAUACCUGCGACAGGACGGAAAGACCCCAUGGAGCUUUACUGUAGCUUGACAUUGGGUCUUGGUACUACAUGUACAGGAUAGGUGGGAGGCUUUGAAACCAGGACGCCAGUUUUGGCGGAGCCAUCCUUGGGAUACCACCCUUGUAGUACUGGGACUCUAACCAUAGGCCAUGAAUCUGGUCUUGGGACACUGUCAGGUGGGCAGUUUGACUGGGGCGGUCGCCUCCCAAAAGGUAACGGAGGCGCUCAAAGGUUCUCUCAGUACGGUCGGAAAUCGUACGUAGAGUGUAAAGGCAAAAGAGAGCUUGAUUGCAAGACAUACAGGUCGAGCAAGGAUGAAAAUCGGACUUAGUGAUCCGGUGGUUCUGCGUGGAAGGGCCAUCGCUCAACGGAUAAAAGCUACCCUGGGGAUAACAGGCUUAUCUCCCCCAAGAGUCCACAUCGACGGGGAGGUUUGGCACCUCGAUGUCGGCUCAUCACAUCCUGGGGCUGUAGUAGGUCCCAAGGGUUGGGCUGUUCGCCCAUUAAAGUGGUACGCGAGCUGGGUUCAGAACGUCGUGAGACAGUUCGGUCCCUAUCCGUCGCAGGCGUAGGAAAUUUGAGAAGACCUGUCCUUAGUACGAGAGGACCGGGAUGGACGUACCUCUGGUGUACCAGUUGUCCUGCCAAGGGCAUGGCUGGGUAGCUAUGUACGGAAUGGAUAAGCGCUGAAAGCAUCUAAGCGCGAAGCCAACUUCAAGAUAAGAUUUCCCACCGCAAGGGUAAGACCCCAGAAAGACUAUCUGGUUGAUAGGUCGAAGGUGUAAGUGCAGCAAUGUAUUUAGCUUAUCGAUACUAAUAGGUCGAGGACUUGACCAA